CCUACGGGAGGCAGCAGUAGGGAAUUUUCGUCAAUGGGCGCAAGCCUGAACGAGCAAUGCCGCGUGAACGAGGAAGGUCUUCGGAUCGUAAAGCUCUGUCGACGGGGAAAAAGAGCGGAGAGACGAAAUGGUCUCCGAUUGAUAUUACCUUUCGAGGAAGCCCCGGCUAACUACGUGCCAGCAGCCGCGGUAAUACGUAGGUGGCGAGCGUUAUCCGGUAUGAUUGGGCGUAAAGGGUUCGUAGGCGGCCUGCAAAGUCUGGGGUAAACGGUAGCGGCUCAAGCGGUACAGGCACUGGAAACUGGCGAGCUGGAGAGCAGGAGAGGGCAGUGGAACUCCAUGUGUAGCGGUGAAAUGCGUAGAUAUAUGGAAGAACACCAGUGGCGAAGGCGGCCGCCUGGACUGUUACUGACGCUGAGGCACGAAAGCGUGGGGAGCAAAUAGGAUUAGAUACCCGGGUAGUC
rnacentral:rRNA from 1 species